ACAGAAAUAACUUGCCAGUUAACAUUGUUGUCACUGCUUCCCUCUGUUUGUUUUUCCAUUUUCAUGUUGUUAAGGGAAAGGUGUCCCAUCAGGAUGGCCAGUUCCUGAUAUCUCAUCUAGAGAUGCGAAGGAGCUCAACUGGUGCUAAGGACCCAGCUGAUUGACACUUCAUUUUACCCAAUUAACACAGUUUGUAAAACAUUAUAUUUUUUUAAAUGAGUUUUAAUAUAUAUACAUUUUCUACAUAUUAUAAUUCUAAUUUACUACUAUAACUCUAAAUUCAGCCACCGCAAUACUAAUUAUUUUGAUUUUUUUUCUAAAAAUGUGUAUUUUAAAAUAGUAAAUUAAAGUAGUGGCCGUUUUACAAAAUUAACCCAAAAAUUUAGUCUUCAUGGAGACUACAUGGAGAAUCUGUCUUCAACAUGAAAUGAGUACAGAAAUUAAAAUCAUUCUCCCAAGUAUGGACUUUGUCAGCAUAGUGCACACCAAGGAAUUCCGUAAAUAGAACAAUUCUUCAUUGGUUUCUAAGUCACAACUUUCUGACUAAUCAUGAAAACCUGAACCAGGCCAAUGGGAAACACAGAAGAACAGCAGAAGAGACAUUUUAGAAAUAUUAUGGAGGGGAAUGGAGGUGGAUGGGACUCAUUGGUGGUAAAAGUGUCCUGCCUUGUCAAUGAGGGCAUGCCAAAGAGCCAGGAGGUCUGGUGCCGCAGAAAAGGCAACAUUUGCUGCCAGUUUG